rfam:Schistosoma mansoni, Puerto Rico, WGS project CABG01000000 data, contig: 0225
AUCCAGUUGACGAGUCCCAAAAUAGGACGAAACACGCAUCAAACUGGAU